AACCUCAUUGAUGGGAAGGAAUUCCUUCCAAUCAAUGAGGUUGUUAUGAACCUCAUUGAUUGGAAGUCAAUGAGGGUCACAACCUCAUCAAUUGGAAGGCAUUCCUUCCAAUCAAUGAGGUU
rnacentral:miRNA from 1 species